GACGAACGCUGGCGGCGUGCUUAACACAUGCAAGUCGAACGGAAAGGCCCUGCUUUUGUGGGGUGCUCGAGUGGCGAACGGGUGAGUAACACGUGAGUAACCUGCCCUUGACUUUGGGAUAACUUCAGGAAACUGGGGCUAAUACCGGAUAGGAGCUCCUGCUGCAUGGUGGGGGUUGGAAAGUUUCGGCGGUUGGGGAUGGACUCGCGGCUUAUCAGCUUGUUGGUGGGGUAGUGGCUUACCAAGGCUUUGACGGGUAGCCGGCCUGAGAGGGUGACCGGCCACAUUGGGACUGAGAUAAGGCCCAGACUCCUACGGGAGGCAGGAGUGGGGAAUAUUGGACAAUGGGCGGAAGCCUGAUGCAGCAACGCCGCGUGCGGGAUGACGGCCUUCGGGUUGUAAACCGCUUUCGCCUGUGACGAAGCGUGAGUGACGGUAAUGGGUAAAGAAGCACCGGCUAACUACGUG
rnacentral:rRNA from 1 species